rnacentral:rRNA from 1 species
CCUACGGGAGGCAGCAGUGAGGAAUAUUGGUCAAUGGGCUUACGCCUGAACCAGCCAAGUCGCGUGAGGGAAGACUGCCCUAUGGGUUGUAAACCUCUGUUGUCAGGGAGCAACGCCGGCUACGUGUAGCCGGACUGAGAGGAGCUGAAGAAAAAGCAGCGGCUAACGCCGUGCCAGCAGCCGCGGUAAUACGGCGGAUGCGAGCGUUCGCCGGAUUUAUUGGGUUUAAAGGGUGCGUAGGCGGACGGUUAAGUCAGCGGUAAAAGCCCGGGGCUCAACCCCGGCGAGCCGUUGAAACUGGCUGUCUUGCGAUGUCUAGAGGUAUGCGGCAUGCGCAGUGUAGCGGUUACAUGCUUAGAUAUUGCGCAGAACUCCGAUUGCGAAGGCAGCAUACCGGCGGCGAUCUGACGCUGAGGCACGAAAGCGUGGGUAUCGAACAGGAUUAGAUACCCUUGUAGUC